GUCUUUUUGAGUUAUUUUUAAAGUCUGACCUGCCCACUGAAUUUUUUAAAUGGCCGCAGUAUUCUAACUGUGCAAAGGUAGCAUAAUCAUUAGUCUUUUAAUUGAAGGCUGGUAUGAACGGUUGGACGAGGUAUAAGCUGUUUCAUAUAAAUUUACAUUAGAAUUUUAUAUUUUAGUCAAAAAGCUAAAAUGUAGUUAAAAGACGAGAAGACCCUAUAAAUCUUUAUAUUUUAUAUGAUUUAAGUUUUUUUGAUUUGUUUUAUUUUUAUUGUAUUAAAUAUUUUGUUGGGGUGAUGUUAAAAUUUGAUGAACUUUUAAUUUUUUUAAGUCAUUAAUUUAUGAAUUAUUGAUCCAUUAGUAGUGAUUAUAAGAUUAAGUUACUUUAGGGAUAACAGCGUAAUUUUUUUUGGAGAGUUCUUAUCGAUAAAAAAGUUUGCGACCUCGAUGUUGGAUUAAGAUAUAGGUUUAGGUGUAGCCGCUUAAAUGUUAAGUCUGUUCGACUUUUAAAUUCUU
rnacentral:rRNA from 1 species